rnacentral:misc_RNA from 1 species
GAUGAAGAACGUAGCAAAAUGCGAUAAGUAAUGUGAAUUGCAGAAUUCAGUGAAUCAUCGAAUCUUUGAACGCACAUUGCGCCCGCCAGUAUUCUGGCGGGCAUGCCUGUUCGAGCGUCAUUUCAACCCUCAAGCACAGCUUGGUGUUGGGACUCGCGUUAAUUCGCGUUCCCCAAAUUGAUUGGCGGUCACGUCGAGCUUCCAUAGCGUAGUAGUAAAACCCUCGUUACUGGUAAUCGUCGCGGCCACGCCGUUAAACCCCAACUUCUGAAUGUUGACCCCGGAUCAGGUAGGAAUACCCGCUGAACUUAAGCAUAUCAAUAAGCGGAGGA